CCUACGGGAGGCAGCAGUGAGGAAUAUUGGUCAAUGGCCGGAAGGCUGAACCAGCCAAGCCGCGUGAAGGACGAAGGUGCCAAGCAUUGUAAACUUCUUUUGUCAAGGGACAAAAUCAGUCUCGAGAGCCUGACCGAGGGUACUUGAUGAAAAAGCAUCGGCUAACUCCGUGCCAGCAGCCGCGGUAAUACGGAGGAUGCGAGCGUUAUCCGGAUUUAUUUGGUUUAAGGGGUGCGUAGGCGGACUGUUAAGUCAGCGGGAAACGCCCGGGGCUCAACCCCGGCGCGCAGUUGAGACUGGCUGUAUUGAGAUGUCGAGAGGUAUGCGGAAUGCGUAGUGUAGCGGUGAAAUGCUUAGAGAUUGCGCAGAACUCCGAUUGCGAAGGCAGCAUACCGGCGGCGAUCUGACGCUGAGGCACGAAAGCGUGGGUAUCGAACAGGAUUAGAUACCCGAGUAGUC
rnacentral:rRNA from 1 species